AAUCAACGCUGGCGGCGUGCCUCAGACAUGCAAGUCGAACGAUUAAAGCUCUCUUCGGAGAGUGCAUAGAGUGGCGCACGGGUGAGUAACACGUAAGUAAUCUACCUUCGAGUGGGGAAUAACGUCCGGAAACGGACGCUAAUACCGCAUAAUGCAGCGGCAUCGUAAGAUGACAGUUGUUAAAGAUUUAUCGCUUGAAGAGGAGCUUGCGGCAGAUUAGCUAGUUGGUAAGGUAAUGGCUUACCAAGGCUACGAUCUGUAACCGGUCUUAGAGGACGGUCGGUCACACUGACACUGAAUAACGGGUCAGACUCCUACGGGAGGCAGCAGUCGGGAAUUUUGGGCAAUGGGCGAAAGCCUGACCCAGCAACGCCGCGUGAAGGAUGAAGUAUUUCGGUAUGUAAACUUCGAAAGAAUAGGAAGAAUAAAUAGACGGUACCGGAAGGAAUAAGCCCCGGCUAACUCGUGCCAGCAGCCGCGGGUAAU
rnacentral:rRNA from 1 species